AUGUUUGAAUUAGAAUGUGAUGCUAGCGGCAUUGGUUUAGGCGGUGUUUUAUUGCAAGAAGGCAAACCGGUAGCAUAUUUUAGUGAAAAACUCAGUGGGCCUAGUUUUAAUUAUUCAACAUAUGAUAAAGAACUUUAUGCACUAGUUCGGACUUUGGAGACAUGGCAACAUUAUUUAUGGCCUAAGGAGUUUGUCAUACAUUCUAAUCAUGAAUCACUCAAGCAUAUUAGAAGUCAAAGCAAACUGAACCGUAGACAUGCAAAAUGGGUUGAAUUUAUUGUGUCUUUUCCUUAUGUUAUUAAGCACAAGAAAGGGAAGGAGAAUGUUAUUGCCGAUGCAUUGUCUAGGCGCUAUACCAUGUUAUCACAACUUGACUUCAAAAUUUUUGGACUUGAAACUAUAAAAGAGCAAUAUGCUAAUGAUGUCGAUCUUAAAAAUAUUUUGCUCAAUUGCAGAGAGGGUAGAACUUGGAACAAGUUCGUCGUUAAUGACGGAUUUGUUUUUCGUGCUAAUAAGCUAUGCAUCCCAGAUAGCUCUGUUCGUCUUUUGUUGUUACAGGAGGCACAUGGCAGAGGACCUAUGGGACAUUUCGGUGUUAAAAAGACAGAAGACAUCCUUGCUGGUCAUUUCUUCUGGCCAAAAAUGAGACGGGAUGUGGAGAGAUAUGUUGCACGCUGCACGACAUGCCAAAAAGCUAAGUCACGACUAAACCCACAUGGUUUAUAUAUGCCUCUUCCUGUUCCUAGCACUCCUUGGGAAGAUAUAUCUAUGGACUUUGUAUUAGGACUGCCUAGAACACGACGGGGAAGGGAUAGUAUAUUUGUUGUUGUCGAUAGAUUCUCUAAGAUGGCACAUUUUAUACCUUGUCAUAAAAGUGACGAUGCUACUCACAUUGCUGAUUUGUUCUUUCACGAAGUAGUUCAUUUCCAUGGUGUGCCAAAUACAAUUGUUUCUGAUCGUGACACAAAAUUUCUUAGCCACUUUUGGAGGGUGUUGUGGACAAAAUUGGGGACUAAGCUUUUAUUUAGUACUACAUGUCAUCCUCAAACAGAUGGUCAAACUGAAGUGGUUAAUCGAACAUUGUCUACUAUGCUUAGGGCUGUUUUGAAAAAGAACUUAAAAACGUGGGAAGAAUUUUUACCUCAUGUAGAGUUAGCUUAUAAUCGUUUAGUUCAUUCGACCACAAAGUUAUGCCCUUUUGAGAUUGUUUAUGGCUUUAUACCUCGUGCACCAAUUGAUUUAUUACCUAUUCCAUCUUCGGAGAAGGUACACCUUGAUGCUAAAGAACGUGCUGAAUUAGUAUUGAAAAUGCAUGAGACGACUAAGAAAAAUAUUGAACGCAUGAAUGCCAAGUAUAAACUUGCUGGUAGUCAGGGUAGGAAAAGUAUUGUGUUUGAACCAGGUGAUUUAGUAUGGUUACAUUUGCGAAAAGACCGCUUCCGUGAUUUACGAAAGUCAAAGUUAAUGCCUCGUGCGGAUGGACCUUUUAAGGUGAUAGAAAAAAUUAAUGAGAAUGCGUAUAAGCUUGAUUUGCCUGCAGAAUUUCGGGUUAGUCCCACAUUUAAUGUUGCAGAUUUAAAGCCUUAUUUGGGUGAGGACGAAGAAAUACCGUCGAGGACGACUUCGAUUCAAGAAGGGGGGAUGAUGAGGACAUCUCUGCCGCAGUUACACCUGUCGCCACUCCUACAUCAGUUAUGCCAUCUGAACCUAUAA
rnacentral:rRNA from 1 species